GACGGCGAUGCGCGACUGAUGGACCGAGUUCUUCCUACACCUACGAACCUUCCUUAUUGCAUGAUGUUUGGUGCGUGCGUCCGGAGAACGAAGACGAAAGCUGAAAAACAUCCGGUGCGGUAUGGGAAAGCAGAAUUCGCCUCUCAACUCGCAAAGAAACGCACAUUUUAU